rnacentral:rRNA from 1 species
GACGAACGCUGGCGGCGUGCCUAAUACAUGCAAGUAGAACGCAGAUGCGAAAGGGUGAGAAAAGCGUAGGUAACCGCCUCAUAGCGGGGGAUAACUAUGGGAAACGAUAGCUAAUACCGCAUACUGUGAGAUGGACCUGCGUUGUAUUAGCUAGUUGGUGGGGUAAAGGCCCACCAAGGCGAUGAUACAUAGCCGGUCUGAGAGGGUGAUCGGCCACACUGGGACUGGGACACGGCCCAGACUCCUACGGGAGGCAGCAGUGGGGAAUCUUCGGCAAUGGACGGAAGUCUGACCGAGCAACGCCGCGUGAGUGAUGACGGUUUUCGGGUCGUAAAGCUCUGUUGUUAGGGACGCGGUACCUAACCAGAAAGCCACGGCUAACUACGUGCCAGCCGCCGCGGUAAUUC